UACGAAGGGGGCUAGCGUUGCUCGGAAUCACUGGGCGUAAAGGGUGCGUAGGCGGGUCGGUAAGUCAGGGGUGAAAUCCCACGGCCCAACCGUGGAAGUGCCUCUGAUACUGCCGGCCUCGAGGGGGAUAGGGGCGUGCGGAACUCAGGGUGGAGCGGUGAAAUGCGUAGAUAUCCUGAGGAACACCGGUGGCGAAAGCGGCGCGCUGGAUCCCUUCUGACGCUGAGGCGCGAAAGCCAGGGGAGCAAACGGG
rnacentral:rRNA from 1 species